AACACAUGCAAGUCGAACGAAUAAGAGCCCAAGCUUGCUUGGGAUUUCUGUUAGUGGCAUACGGGUGAGUAACGCGUGGGAAUCUGCCCUAUAGUACGGAAUAACAGUUGGAAACGACUGCUAAUACCGUAUAUUCCCUGAGGGGGAAAGAUUUAUCGCUAUAGGAUGAGCCCGCGUUAGAUUAGGUAGUUGGUGGGGUAAAGGCCUACCAAGCCUGCGAUCUAUAGCUGGUCUGAGAGGAUGAUCAGCCACACUGGGACUGUGACACGGCCCAGACUCCUACGGGAGGAGGGAGUGGGGAAUAUUGGACAAUGGGCGAAAGCCUGAUCCAGCAAUGACGCGUGAGUGAAGAAGGCCUUAGGGUUGUAAAGCUCUUUCAGUAGGGAAGAUAAUGACGGUACCUACAGAAGAAGCCCCGGCUAACUUCGUGCCAGCCGCCGCAGACA
rnacentral:rRNA from 1 species